AGAUUCCUGUAUGGUGUUUCAGACGAGAAAUAGUUCCAUCAGUCACAAUGCCACCUCUCCUGUCAUUGAAUUCUGGGAGUGCAGGGUGUCAGACUUUCUUCAGGUAUUGAUCACAUUGGAUCACAAAACUGGGACCUAGUGGUGUGUCUGAUGAUUGCCUGGAUCAUCUCUUACUUCUGCAUCUGGAAAGGAGUCAAGUCCACUGGCAAACUGGUUUUCUUCACAGUAGAGC